GUAAAGCACUUUCAGUAGGGAGGAAGGUAGUGUAGUUAACACCUGCAUUAUUUGACGUUACCUACAGAAGAAGCACCGGCUAACUCCGUGCCAGCAGCCGCGGUAAUACGGAGGGUGCGAGCGUUAAUCGGAAUUACUGGGCGUAAAGCGCAUGCAGGCGGCCUGUUAAGUCAGAUGUGAAAGCCCGGGGCGUUAACCUCGGAAUUGCAUUUGAAACUGGCAGGCUAGAGUCUUGUAGAGGGGGGUAGGAAUUUCAGGUGUAGCGGUGAAAUGCGUAGAGAUCUGAAGGAAUACCAGUGGCGAAGGCGGCCCCCUGGACAAAGACUGACGCUCAGAUGCGAAAGCGUGGGGAGCAAACAGGAUUAGAUACCCUGGUAG
rnacentral:rRNA from 1 species